GGAUGCGAUCAUACCAGCACUAAAGCACCGGAUCCCAUCAGAACUCUGAAGUUAAGCGUGCUUGGGCGAGAGUAGUACUAGGAUGAGUGACCUCCUGGGAAGUCCUCGUGUUGCAUUCC
rnacentral:rRNA from 1 species